rnacentral:rRNA from 1 species
UACGAAGGGGGCUAGCGUUGUUCGGAAUCACUGGGCGUAAAGCGCACGUAGGCGGGUCUUUAAGUCAGGGGUGAAAUCCUGGAGCUCAACUCCAGAACUGCCUUUGAUACUGAGGAUCUUGAGUUCGGGAGAGGUGAGUGGAACUGCGAGUGUAGAGGUGAAAUUCGUAGAUAUUCGCAAGAACACCAGUGGCGAAGGCGGCUCACUGGCCCGAUACUGACGCUGAGGCACGAAAGCGUGGGGAGCAAACAGGG